GGGGACAUAGCUCAGUUGGUAGAGCGCAACGCUGGCAGUGUUGAGGUCAGGGGUUCGAUCCCCCUUGUCUCCA